UUAAACCUAUUUAUAAUGGCGGCAUUUCAUCUUAUUAGAGGAACCUGUUUUUUUAAUCGACAAUCCACGUUAAUUUUCACUUAAAUUAAAAAUUUAUAUAUCGCCAUCUAAAACUAAUUUAAUAAUAUUAUUUUAUAAAAAGUUAGGUCAAGGUGUAAUCUAUAUUUAAGUAAAUUAWGGGUUACUUUUAAUAAAAUUAAAGGACUCUUUUAUAAAAAUUCUUUUCAAAAAAGGAUUUAAAAGUAGUAAUAUAAUAAUAUUUUAUUACG
rnacentral:rRNA from 1 species